AGGGCACCACCAGGAGUGGAGCCUGCGGCUUAAUUUGACUCAACACGGGAAAACUCACCCGGCCCGGACACUGGAAGGAUUGACAGAUUGAGAGCUCUUUCUUGAUUCAGUGGGUGGUGGUGCAUGGCCGUUCUUAGUUGGUGGAGUGAUUUGUCUGGUUAAUUCCGAUAACGAACGAGACUCUAGCCUACUAAAUAGAUCGUCGGCUUACAAACGCCGGCGAGACUUCUUAGAGGGACAGGCGGUGAUUCAACCGCACGAAACAGAGCAAUAACAGGUCUGUGAUGCCCUUAGAUGUCCGGGGCCGCACGCGCGCUACACUGAAGUGAUCAGCGUGCUUUUUCAACCUACUCUGUCAAGAGUGGGGAACCCAAUGAACCUUCUUCGUGAUUGGGAUAGGGGAUUGUAAUUAUUCCCCUUGAACGAGGAAUUCCCAGUAAGCGCGAGUCAUAAGCUCGCGUUGAUUACGUCCCUGCCCUUUGUACACACCGGCCCGUCGCUACUACCGAUUGAAUGUUU
rnacentral:rRNA from 1 species